rnacentral:tRNA from 1 species
GUUUUCGUAGUGUAGUCGUUAUCACGUUCGCCUCACUCGCGAAAGGCCCCCGGUUCGAACCCGGGCGAAAACA